AGUGAACGCUGGCGAUAGGCCUAACACAUGCAAGUCGAACGGCAGCACAGUAAGAGCUUGCUCUUACGGGUGGCGAGUGGCGGGCGGGUGAGGAAUACAUCGGAAUCUACUUUCUCGUGGGGGAUAACGUAGGGAAACUUACGCUAAUACCGCAUACGACCUACGGGUGAAAGCAGGGGAUCUUCGGACCUUGCGCGAUUGAAUGAGCCGAUGUCGGAUUAGCUAGUUGGCGGGGUAAAGGCCCACCAAGGCGACGAUCCGUAGCUGGUCUGAGAGGAUGAUCAGCCACACUGGAACUGAGACACGGUCCAGACUCCUACGGGAGGCAGCAGUGGGGAAUAUUGGACAAUGGGCGCAAGCCUGAUCCAGCCAUACCGCGUGGGUGAAGAAGGCCUUCGGGUUGUAAAGCCCUUUUGUUGGGAAAGAAAAGCAGCAGGUUAAUACCCCGCUGUUCUGACGGUACCCAAAGAAUAAGCACCGGCUAACUUCGUG
rnacentral:rRNA from 1 species